rnacentral:rRNA from 1 species
CUAAGGUAGCGUAAUAGGUCGUCCUUUAAUUGGGGAAAAGUAUGAAUGGUCAGAUGGUGGAAAUACUUUAUUAGAAGCAUAAAUUUGAAAUUUACUUUCAGUGUGCAAAGGCCUGAAUAUAUAUAUUAGACGAGAAGACCCUGUUGAGCUUAAUAAGGUGUAGUCGUCUGGGCUACGUUGUACGUUUGUUCGGGGCCGAGAGGAAGGGAAGACUAUUCCUUCUUAGUUAGUGAGGAUCCAGCAUGGCUGAAAAGAGGAAGAUAGUUACCACAGGGAUAACAGCGCAAUUUUUCUGUCAAGAUCUUAUUUGAGGAGGAGUUUGC